GACGAACGCUGGCGGCGUGCCUAAUACAUGCAAGUAGAACGCACAGUUUAUACCGUAGCUUGCUACACCAUAGACUGUGAGUUGCGAACGGGUGAGUAACGCGUAGGUAACCUGCCUGGUAGCGGGGGAUAACUAUUGGAAACGAUAGCUAAUACCGCAUAAUAUUGAUUAUUGCGUGAUAAUUAAUUGAAAGGUGCAAUUGCACCACUACCAGAUGGACCUGCGUUGUAUUAGCUAGUAGGUGAGGUAACGGCUCACCUAGGCGACGAUACAUAGCCGACCUGAGAGGGUGAUCGGCCACACUGGGACUGAGACACGGCCCAGACUCCUACGGGAGGCAGCAGUAGGGAAUCUUCGGCGAUGGACGAAAGUCUGACCGAGCAACGCCGCGUGAGUGAAGAAGGUUUUCGGAUCGUAAAGCUCUGUUGUAAGAGAAGAACGGGUGUGAGAGUGGAAAGUUCACACUGUGACGGUAUCUUACCAGAAAGGGACGGCUAACUACGUG
rnacentral:rRNA from 1 species